GAUGAACGCUGGCGGCGUGCUUAACACAUGCAAGUCGAACGGUGAAGCAGGAGCUUGCUCUUGUGGAUCAGUGGCGAACGGGUGAGUAACACGUGAGCAACCUGCCCCUGACUCUGGGAUAAGCGCUGGAAACGGCGUCUAAUACUGGAUAUGUGAUGUGACCGCAUGGUCUGCAUCUGGAAAGAAUUUCGGUUGGGGAUGGGCUCGCGGCCUAUCAGCUUGUUGGUGAGGUAAUGGCUCACCAAGGCGUCGACAGGUAGCCGGCCUGAGAGGGUGACCGGCCACACUGGGACUGAGACACGGCCCAGACUCCUACGGGAGGCAGCAGUGGGGAAUAUUGCACAAUGGGCGCAAGCCUGAUGCAGCAACGCCGCGUGAGGGAUGACGGCCUUCGGGUUGUAAACCUCUUUUAGUAGGGAAGAAGCGAAAGUGACGGUACCUGCAGAAAAAGCACCGGCUAACUACGUGCCAGCCGCCGCCGUAA
rnacentral:rRNA from 1 species